rnacentral:rRNA from 1 species
CCUACGGGUGGCUGCAGUGGGGAAUAUUGCACAAUGGGCGCAAGCCUGAUGCAGCCAUGCCGCGUGUGUGAAGAAGGCCUUCGGGUUGUAAAGCACUUUCAGCGGGGAGGAAGGCGGUGAGGUUAAUAACCUCAUCGAUUGACGUUACCCGCAGAAGAAGCACCGGCUAACUCCGUGCCAGCAGCCGCGGUAAUACGGAGGGUGCAAGCGUUAAUCGGAAUUACUGGGCGUAAAGCGCACGCAGGCGGUCUGUCAAGUCGGAUGUGAAAUCCCCGGGCUCAACCUGGGAACUGCAUUCGAAACUGGCAGGCUAGAGUCUUGUAGAGGGGGGUAGAAUUCCAGGUGCAGCGGUGAAAUGCAUAGAGAUCUGGAGGAAUACCGGUGGCGAAGGCGGCCCCCUGGACAAAGACUGACGCUCAGGUGCGAAAGCGUGGGGAGCAAACAGGAUUAGAUACCCUUGUAGUC